GUCUAUGGCCAUGUUGCUUUGAAUGAGCCUGACCUUGGCUGAUCUCUGAAGCUGAGUAGUGUUGAGCCUGGUUAGUAUUUGGAUAAGAGAAAUACUGCUGUUAAAAAGU
rnacentral:rRNA from 1 species